rnacentral:rRNA from 1 species
CCUACGGGAGGCAGCAGUGGGGAAUAUUGCGCAAUGGGCGAAAGCCUGACGCAGCGACGCCGCGUGAGGGAUGAAGGUCUUCGGAUCGGAAACCUCUGUCAGCAGGGAAGAACGGUCAAGGUGCUAAUCAGCAGUGAAUUGACGGUACCUGCAAAGGAAGCACAGACGAACUCCGUGCCAGCAGCCGCGGUAAUACGGAGGGGGCGAGCGUUAAUCGGAAUUACUGGGCGGAAAGCGCUCGUAGGCGGUAUGGCAAGUCAAGGGUGAAAUCCCCGCGCUCAACGUGGGAACUGCCUUUGAAACUGGCAACCUGGCGUGUGUGAGAGGCUAGUGGCAUUCCAGUUG